rnacentral:rRNA from 1 species
GGGCCCGCACAAGCAGCGGAGCAUGUGGUUUAAUUCGAAGCAACGCGAAGAACCUUACCAAGGCUUGACAUCCCUUGACGUACAUAGAGAUAUGUAUUCCCUUCGGGGCAAGGAGACAGGUGGUGCAUGGUUGUCGUCAGCUCGUGUCGUGAGAUGUUGGGUUAAGUCCCGCAACGAGCGCAACCCUUGUUGCUAGUUGCCAGCACGUUAAGGUGGGAACUCUAGUGAGACUGCCGGGGACAACUCGGAGGAAGGUGGGGACGACGUCAAAUCAUCAUGCCCCUUAUGUCUUGGGCUACACACGUGCUACAAUGGCCGGUACAAAGGGCAGCGACCCCGUAAGGGCAAGCGAAUCUCAAAAAGCCGGUCUCAGUUCGGAUUGUGGGCUGCAACCCGCCCACAUGAAGUUGGAGUUGCUAGUAAUCGCGAAUCAGCAUGUCG